rnacentral:rRNA from 1 species
CCUACGGGAGACAGCAGUGAGGAAUAUUGGUCAAUGGACGAGAGUCUGAACCAGCCAAGUAGCGUGAAGGAUGACUGCCCUAUGGGUUGUAAACUUCUUUUAUAUGGGAAUAAAAUGUUCCACGUGUGGGAUUUUGUAUGUACCAUAUGAAUAAGUAUCGGCUAACUCCGUGCCAGCAGCCGCGGUAAUACGGAGGAUCCGAGCGUUAUCCGGAUUUAUUGGGUUUAAAGGGAGCGUAGGUGGAUUGUUAAGUCAGUUGUGAAAGUUUGCGGCUCAACCGUAAAAUUGCAGUUGAAACUGGCAGUCUUGAGUACAGUAGAGGUGGGCGGAAUUCGUGGUGUAGCGGUGAAAUGCUUAGAUAUCACGAAGAACUCCGAUUGCGAAGGCAGUUCACUGGACUGCAACUGACACUGAGGCUCGAAAGUGUGGGUAUCAAACAGGAUUAGAUACCCGGGUAGUC